rnacentral:rRNA from 1 species
CUACGGGUGGCAGCAGUGAGGAAUAUUGGUCAAUGGGCGAGAGUCUGAACCAGCCAAGUCGCGUGAAGGAUGAAGGAUCUAUGGUUUGUAAACUUCUUUUAUAUGGGAAUAAAGUGAGGAACGUGUUCCUUUUUGUAUGUACCAUAUGAAUAAGCAUCGGCUAACUCCGUGCCAGCAGCCGCGGUAAUACGGAGGAUGCGAGCGUUAUCCGGAUUUAUUGGGUUUAAAGGGUGCGUAGGUGGUUAAUUAAGUCAGCGGUGAAAGUUUGUGGCUCAACCAUAAAAUUGCCGUUGAAACUGGUUGACUUGAGUAUAUUAGAGGUAGGCGGAAUGCGUGGUGUAGCGGUGAAAUGCAUAGAUAUCACGCAGAACGCCGAUUGCGAAGGCAGCUUACUAAACUAUAACUGACACUGAAGCACGAAAGCGUGGGGAUCAAACAGGAUUAGAUACCCUUGUAGUC